GAAAAACAAACAAAAAAUACAGUUAAAAAUUCUAUCCGUAUUCACAAGAACACACGGUCCGUAUUCUUUUUAAGACAGACAGGAACAUGGGCAGGAUGUUUAUACUGUCAAAUGUAAACAUUUUCUCUGGCCUUCUUUAUAUAAAAAAUCAAGCAAAAAGCCCCACAAGAGUCGCUAAUAGCCAUUCCGAGGCAAUGCGUCCGUUUUACGCUGCGCAAACGAUCUGUGAAUCUUUGUUUUUUUUAACAUAAAUGUGGAGAUAAAGCCGUAGACAGUUCUGUCAAAAGGACGUUUUAAAAGCUGGGACUCAGAUCUGCAUUGUUUUGAGAAACUUGUCUAUAUGAAGACGCCUAAUCGACCUGUUCCUGGUCCUGGUCCUGAUCCAGAGACUGAAGGAAGUGCAGAGUCACGCAAGGAAGGAAAAGAUCUAUGACCUGCUAAAAGCCAGUGUGGAGACAGAAAGAGAGCGAGCUUAUUAAAUGCUACCUGGUAAUGUUAACGUCAACGUUAAUGUUUUUCCACCAUUUAAAUAAUAAUAAGUAUAUUAUUGUACUAAAAGGAAAAAUGUAAUCGUAAUAUCAUAUUCUGAUGCCGAUUCCUCAAAUUAAAUCCUAAUAAAUCUCAU